AUUGAACGCUGGCGGCAUGCCUUACACAUGCAAGUCGAACGGCAGCACGGGAGCAAUCCUGGUGGCGAGUGGCGAACGGGUGAGUAAUAUAUCGGAACGUGCCCGGUCGUGGGGGAUAACGUAGCGAAAGCUACGCUAAUACCGCAUACGAUCUACGGAUGAAAGCGGGGGGAUCGCAAGACCUCGCGCGAUUGGAGCGGCCGAUAUCAGAUUAGGUAGUUGGUGAGGUAAAGGCUCACCAAGCCGACGAUCUGUAGCUGGUCUGAGAGGACGACCAGCCACACUGGGACUGAGACACGGCCCAGACUCCUACGGGAGGCAGCAGUGGGAAUUUUGGACAAUGGGCGCAAGCCUGAUCCAGCAAUGCCGCGUGCAGGAUGAAGGCC
rnacentral:rRNA from 1 species